UACGUAGGGGCCGAGCGUUGUCCGGAAUUAUUGGGGCGUAAAGGGCUCGUAGGCGGUUUGUCGCGUCGGGAGUGAAAACCAGGUGCUUAACACCUGGCUUGCUUUCGAUACGGGCAGGCUAGAGGUAUUCAGGGGAGAACGGAAUUCCUGGUGUAGCGGUGAAAUGCGCAGAUAUCAGGAGGAACACCGGUGGCGAAAGGCGGGUUCUCUGGGAAUGACCUGACGCUGAGGAGCGAAAGUGUGGGGAGCGAACAGG
rnacentral:rRNA from 1 species